AGACCCGAAACCCGGUGAUCUAGCCAUGGGCAGGUUGAAGGUUGGGUAACACUAACUGGAGGACCGAACCGACUAAUGUUGAAAAAUUAGCGGAUGACCUGUGGCUGGGGGUGAAAGGCCAAUCAAACCGGGAGAUAGCUGGUUCUCCCCGAAAGCUAUUUAGGUAGCGCCUCGUGAAUUCAUCUCCGGGGGUAGAGCACUGUUUCGGCUAGGGGGCCAUCCCGGCUUACCAACCCGAUGCAAACUGCGAAUACCGGAGAAUGUUAUCACGGGAGACACACGGCGGGUGCUAACGUCCGUCGUGAAGAGGGAAACAACCCAGACCGCCAGCUAAGGUCCCAAAGUCAUGGUUAAGUGGGAAACGAUGUGGGAAGGCCCAGACAGCCAGGAUGUUGGCUUAGAAGCAGCCAUCAUUUAAAGAAAGCGUAAUAGCUCACUGGUCGAGUCGGCCUGCGCGGAAGAUGUAACGGGGCUAAACCAUGCACCGAAGCUGCGGCAGCGACACUAUGUGUUGUUGGGUAGGGGAGCGUUCUGUAAGCCUGUGAAGGUGGCCUGUGAGGGUUGCUGGAGGUAUCAGAAGUGCGAAUGCUGACAUAAGUAACGAUAAAGCGGGUGAAAAGCCCGCUCGCCGGAAGACCAAGGGUUCCUGUCCAACGUUAAUCGGGGCAGGGUGAGUCGACCCCUAAGGCGAGGCCGAAAGGCGUAGUCGAUGGGAAACGGGUUAAUAUUCCCGUACUUGGUGUUACUGCGAAGGGGGGACGGAGAAGGCUAUGUUGGCCGGGCGACGGUUGUCCCGGUUUAAGCGUGUAGGUGUGUGUUCCAGGUAAAUCCGGUUCACUUUAACACUGAGGCGUGAUGACGAGGCACUACGGUGCUGAAGCAACAAAUGCCCUGCUUCCAGGAAAAGCCUCUAAGCAUCAGGUAACAUCAAAUCGUACCCCAAACCGACACAGGUGGUCAGGUAGAGAAUACCAAGGCGCUUGAGAGAACUCGGGUGAAGGAACUAGGCAAAAUGGUGCCGUAACUUCGGGAGAAGGCACGCUGACAUGUAGGUGAAGUGAUUUACUCAUGGAGCUGAAGUCAGUCGAAGAUACCAGCUGGCUGCAACUGUUUAUUAAAAACACAGCACUGUGCAAACACGAAAGUGGACGUAUACGGUGUGACGCCUGCCCGGUGCCGGAAGGUUAAUUGAUGGGGUCAGCGCAAGCGAAGCUCCUGAUCGAAGCCCCGGUAAACGGCGGCCGUAACUAUAACGGUCCUAAGGUAGCGAAAUUCCUUGUCGGGUAAGUUCCGACCUGCACGAAUGGCGUAAUGAUGGCCAGGCUGUCUCCACCCGAGACUCAGUGAAAUUGAACUCGCUGUGAAGAUGCAGUGUACCCGCGGCAAGACGGAAAGACCCCGUGAACCUUUACUAUAGCUUGACACUGAACAUUGAGCCUUGAUGUGUAGGAUAGGUGGGAGGCUUUGAAGUGUGGACGCCAGUCUGCAUGGAGCCGACCUUGAAAUACCACCCUUUAAUGUUUGAUGUUCUAACGUGGACCCGUAAUCCGGGUUGCGGACAGUGUCUGGUGGGUAGUUUGACUGGGGCGGUCUCCUCCUAAAGAGUAACGGAGGAGCACGAAGGUUGGCUAAUCCUGGUCGGACAUCAGGAGGUUAGUGCAAUGGCAUAAGCCAGCUUGACUGCGAGCGUGACGGCGCGAGCAGGUGCGAAAGCAGGUCAUAGUGAUCCGGUGGUUCUGAAUGGAAGGGCCAUCGCUCAACGGAUAAAAGGUACUCCGGGGAUAACAGGCUGAUACCGCCCAAGAGUUCAUAUCGACGGCGGUGUUUGGCACCUCGAUGUCGGCUCAUCACAUCCUGGGGCUGAAGUAGGUCCCAAGGGUAUGGCUGUUCGCCAUUUAAAGUGGUACGCGAGCUGGGUUUAGAACGUCGUGAGACAGUUCGGUCCCUAUCUGCCGUGGGCGCUGGAGAACUGAGGGGGGCUGCUCCUAGUACGAGAGGACCGGAGUGGACGCAUCACUGGUGUUCGGGUUGUCAUGCCAAUGGCACUGCCCGGUAGCUAAAUGCGGAAGAGAUAAGUGCUGAAAGCAUCUAAGCACGAAACUUGCCCCGAGAUGAGUUCUCCC
rnacentral:rRNA from 1 species